GUGUCAGCAGCCGCGGUAAUACGGAGGGUGCGAGCGUUAUCCGGAAUUACUGGGUUUAAAGGGUGCGUAGGCGGCGCAGUAAGUCAGGAGUGAAAGUUUGCGGCUCAACCGUAAAAUUGCUUUUGAUACUGCUGUGCUGGAAUUAGGAUGAGGUCAGCGGAAUGUGGCAUGUAGCGGUGAAAUGCAUAGAUAUGCCAUAGAACACCAAUUGCGAAGGCAGCUGGCUAGACCUGGAUUGACGCUGAGGCACGAAAGCGUGGGGAGCGAACAGGAUUAGAAACCCUGGUAGUCC
rnacentral:rRNA from 1 species